UUCAGGGUAUAGCUCAGUGGUAGAUGGCUUGCCUAGCAUGUGUAAGGUCCUGGGUUCAACCCCCAGUGCCAAA
rnacentral:tRNA from 1 species